rnacentral:rRNA from 2 species
UGGGGGAUAUUGCACAAUGGGCGAAAGCCUGAUGCAGCGACGCCGCGUGGGGGAUGAAGGCUUUCGGGUUGUAAACCUCUUUCGCUAUCGAACAAGGCCCGCUUAGGGUGGGUUGAGGGUAGGUGGAGAAGAAGCGCCGGCUAACUACGUGCCAGCAGCCGCGGUAAUACGUAGGGCGCGAGCGUUGGCCGGAAUUAUUGGGCGUAAAGGGCUUGUAGGCGGCUUGUUGCGCCUGCUGUGAAAACGCGGGGCUUAACUUCGCGCGUGCAGUGGGUACGGGCAGGCUUGAGUGUGGUAGGGGUGACUGGAAUUCCAGGUGUAGCGGUGGAAUGCGCAGAUAUCUGGAGGAACACCGAUGGCGAAGGCAGGUCACUGGGCCAUUACUGACGCUGAGGAGCGAAAGCAUGGGUAGCGAACAGG